rnacentral:rRNA from 1 species
GACGAACGCUGGCGGCGUGCUUAAUACAUGCAAGUCAACGACUUUUAGAGUAGCAAUAUUCUAAAGGAAGUGGCGCACGGGUGAGUAACACGUAGGUAAUCUGCCUUCAGGACUGACACAACUCGUCGAAAGACGGGCUAAUAUCAGAUAAUGCAGCGGCUCCGCAUGGAGACAGUUGUUAAAGUACAAGCGCCUGAAGAUGAGCCUGCGGUCCAUUAGCUAGUUGGUAGAGUAAAAGCCUACCAAGGCAACGAUGGAUAGCUGGUCUGAGAGGAUGAUCAGCCACACUGGAACUGAGACACGGUCCAGACUCCUACGGGAGGCAGCAGUAAGGAAUAUUGCUCAAUGGCCGAAAGGACUGAAGCAGCAACGACCGCCGUGAAGGAUGAAUGGCCUUUGGCCUGUAAACUUACUGUUAAAAAGGG